GUAGGUGGCAAGCGUUGUCCGGGAAUUAUUGGGGCGUAAAGCGCGCGCAGGCGGUUCUUUAAGUCUGGAUGUGAAAGCCCACGGGCUCAACCGUGGGAGGGUCAUUGGAAACUGGAGAACUUGAGUACAGAAGAGGAAAGCGGAAUUCCACGUGUAGCGGUGAAAUGCGUAGAGAUGUGGAGGAACACCAGUGGCGAAGGCGGCUUUCUGGUCUGUAACUGACGCUGAGGCGCGAAAGCGUGGGGAGCAAACAGGAUUAGAUACCCUGGUAGUCCACGCCGUAAACGAUGAGUGCUAAGUGUUAUGGGGUUUCCGCCCCUUAGUGCUGCAGCUAACGCAUUAAGCACUCCGCCUGGGGAGUACGGCCGCAAAGGCUGA
rnacentral:rRNA from 1 species